rnacentral:lncRNA from 1 species
GAGGUGGUGCACGCCCCUCGGGGAAAGCCACCGAGUCCAGCCCAGGCUCGGCCUUCGCACUCGUAACCGGCGCUACCCCUGGCGUUCGUGGGGCUCCCGGGGAUGGGCGCUCUGGUCACGGCACGGAUGCGCAGGGAUCCAGAGCGGGGGCCCAGGACUGCCUGCGGUGGGGGCCGGCCGCGCGCGCCGGGUGUCCGGAGUCCGGUCGGAGCUGCUGCGUCACCCGGGCAGCUAGAGAACUAUUGGGCAACCUAGUCGCCUCCCGCUGCGAUCUUUGCCUGGGCGACCAGCGACUAAGUCUCCUCCCGGGCGGGGCUUUAGUGAAAGAGAGAAAAUAGAGUUCGAGCUGCUGACCUCCCAGGACGCUCCUUGAUUCGUGUGUGGGUGGCCCAUGCCUGGUUCAUAAAAGAACUUUUACAACUGU